rnacentral:lncRNA from 1 species
AUCCGCAGUCACGUGGAACUAUGGGGCGUCCUUACUCCCAGUCUUUCCAGAUGUUCUUCCCACUCCUCAACUGCUCCUGGCUCAGAAACCCUGCACACCUGGAAGAAAGUGAGAACCAGUUUUUCAACAAACACAUUGCACAGACUUAUUGUGAACCCCGGGUGGAAUCAAGCAUCGGAGGAAGAGAACGUGGGUCUUGCUGUGUCCCUAGGCUGGAGUGCAGUGGUGCAGUCUCAAUUAUGCCAGAUGGCUCUGAGGUCCAAGUAAAAGAUAAUAUUUGCAACCAACUCACUGGAGUUGACCAUCAAAACUCUUUUCCAGGUGGAAAAGCACCCUGAAUCCAGCUUCCUGCUAUGAAUGAAUACUGAGCUUGGGUUGGUGGAAAUUGAUUUUCGAGAUAAAGAAUCCAGCCAGGACUGUGAAGCCCCAGGGAAUGGCUGCACUUCAAGUCAGAAGGAGCCUGGGUCCCUGAAUCAUCAUGUGGAAGGCUCUCCACCCAGUUCAAUGGUGCAAUGGACCACAAGCAGGAACUUAAUUUAGAAUGUGCUUAUUUUGUUAGAUUUUGUAAUUAAAAAAUGGAUCCCACUCUGACUGAAUCAGAGAUGUUGAAGUCAUUGAUCUGGGAGGGUAUGUUCCUGGGAGUGGGUGGCUGAGGUGAGAUUUCAAACAAGGUUGUUGAGGAAGAGGAGUUCAAGUGACUGAGAGGACAUAUUGUUGGAUAAAUUGUGCGUGCGUGUGUGUGUGUGUGUGUGUGUGUGUUGAAAUCACCAAGAAUAGGGAAAGAAGUGUAUAAGAGAGUGUGGCAGUGAGCCCAGAGCUAAAAGAAAUCAUGAGCAGGGAGUAAUUCACGAGCAGAAAGUAGAAGCAACGAGAGGCAGUUAAUGAGAGAAGCAGCUGAGGGAUUUUAGCAAGGGAUGGG